UGGGUGACGAGUGGCGGACGGGUGAGUAAUGUCUGGGAAACUGCCCGAUGGAGGGGGAUAACUACUGGAAACGGUAGCUAAUACCGCAUAACGUCGCAAGACCAAAGAGGGGGACCUUCGGGCCUCUUGCCAUCGGAUGUGCCCAGAUGGGAUUAGCUAGUAGGUGGGGUAAUGGCUCACCUAGGCGACGAUCCCUAGCUGGUCUGAGAGGAUGACCAGCCACACUGGAACUGAGACACGGUCCAGACUCCUACGGGAGGCAGCAGUGGGGAAUAUUGCACAAUGGGCGCAAGCCUGAUGCAGCCAUGCCGCGUGUAUGAAGAAGGCCUUCGGGUUGUAAAGUACUUUCAGCGAGGAGGAAGGUGUUGAGGUUAAUAACCUCAGCAAUUGACGUUACUCGCAGAAGAAGCACCGGCUAACUCCGUGCCAGCAGCCGCGGUAAUACGGAGGGUGCAAGCGUUAAUCGGAAUUACUGGGCGUAAAGCGCACGCAGGCGGUCUGUCAAGUCGGAUGUGAAAUCCCCGGGCUCAACCUGGGAACUGCAUCCGAAACUGGCAGGCUAGAGUCUUGUAGAGGGGGGUAGAAUUCCAGGUGUAGCGGUGAAAUGCGUAGAGAUCUGGAGGAAUACCGGUGGCGAAGGCGGCCCCCUGGACAGAGACUGACGCUCAGGUGCGAAAGCGUGGGGGAGCAAACAGGAUUAGAUACCCUGGUAGUCCACGCCGUAAACGAUGUCGACUUGGAGGUUGUGCCCUUGAGCGUGGCUUCCGGAGCUAACGCGUUAAGUCGACCGCCUGGGGAGU
rnacentral:rRNA from 1 species